GACGAACGCUGGCGGCGUGCUUAACACAUGCAAGUCGAACGGAAAGGCCCUGCUUUUGUGGGGUGCUCGAGUGGCGAACGGGUGAGUAACACGUGAGUAACCUGCCCUUGACUUUGGGAUAACUUCAGGAAACUGGGGCUAAUACCGGAUAGGAGCUCCUGCUGCAUGGUGGGGGUUGGAAAGUUUCGGCGGUUGGGGAUGGACUCGCGGCUUAUCAGCUUGUUGGUGGGGUAGUGGCUUACCAAGGCUUUGACGGGUAGCCGGCCUGAGUGGGUGACCGGCCACAUUGGGACUGAGAGACGGCCCAGACUCCUACGGGAGGCAGCAGUGGGGAAUAUUGCACAAUGGGCGGAAGCCUGAUGCAGCAACGCCUCGUGCGGGAGGACGGCCUUCGGGUUGUAAACCGCUUUCGCCUGUGACGAAGCAUGAGUGACGGUAAUGGGUAAAGAAGCACCGGCUAACUACGU
rnacentral:rRNA from 1 species